ACGGAAGGCAGCAGUGGGGAAUAUUGCGCAAUGGGCGGAAGCCUGACGCAGCGACGCCGCGUGGGGGAUGACGGCCUUCGGGUUGUAAACCUCUUUCGGCCCCGACGAAGCGUGAGUGACGGUAGGGGUGGAAGAAGCACCGGCCAACUACGUGCCAGCAGCCGCGGUAACACGUAGGGUGCGAGCGUUGUCCGGAAUUAUUGGGCGUAAAGAGCUCGUAGGCGGUGUGUCGCGUCGGCCGUGAAAACCUGCAGCUUAACUGUGGGCUUGCGGUCGAUACGGGCAUCACUGGAGUUCGGCAGGGGAGACUGGAAUUCCUGGUGUAGCGGUGAAAUGCGCAGAUAUCAGGAGGAACACCGGUGGCGAAGGCGGGUCUCUGGGCCGAUACUGACGCUGAGGAGCGAAAGCGUGGGGAGCGAACAGGAUUAGAUACCCUGGUA
rnacentral:rRNA from 1 species